ACGGAGGUUGCAAGCGUUGUUCGGAAUUACUGGGCGUAAAGGGAGCGCAGGCGGCCGAAUCAGUCUGAAGUGAAAUCCCGGAGCUUAACUCCGGACGUGCUUUGGAUACUGUUUGGCUUGAGUUCGCGAGAGGUAAGCGGAAUUCCAGGUGUAGCGGUGAAAUGCGUAGAUAUCUGGAGGAACAUCGGUGGCGAAAGCGGCUUACUGGCGCGAUACUGACGCUGAGGCUCGAAAGCGUGGGGAGCGAACGG
rnacentral:rRNA from 1 species